AGAUUGAGUUGGUUCAGAUUUGAUUAUGUGCUUGUGCAACUUGUGUUGAUCUUAUUCAAGAUCUUGGGCAGAGUCUUUGAUUUGACAAGAUAAUUAGAUCAAUCAAAGCUCUACACUUCGAUUAUUAGAGUUAGUAUUUUUGUUCUGUUUUCCAGCCUUUAUAGGGCGUAUUAAAGUUGCUGCACCUUGCCGCGGCUGAUUUAAU
rnacentral:lncRNA from 1 species